AGGAUUAGAUAGCCUGGUAGUCCACGCCGUAAACGGUGGGAACUAGUUGUAGGGGCCAUUCCACGGCUUCUGUGACGAAGCUAACGCAUUAAGUUCCCCGCCUGGGGAGUACGGUCGCAAGACUAAAACUCAAAGGAAUUGACGGGGGCCCGCACAAGCGGCGGAGCAUGCGGAUUAAUUCGAUGCAACGCGAAGAACCUUACCAAGGCUUGACAUAUAGAGGAAACGUGCAGAGAUGUACGCCCCGCAAGGCCUCUAUACAGGUGGUGCAUGGUUGUCGUCAGCUCGUGUCGUGAGAUGUUGGGUUAUGUCCCGCAACGAGCGCAACCCUCGUCCUAUGUUGCCAGCACGUAAUGGUGGGAACUCAUGGGAGACUGCCGGGGUCAACUCGGAGGAAGGUGGGGAUGACGUCAAAUCAUCAUGCCCCUUAUGUCUUGGGCUUCACGCAUGCUACAAUGGCCGGUACAAAGGGUUGCGAUACCGCAAGGUGGAGCUAAUCCCAAAAAGCCGGUCUCAGUUCGGAUUGGGGUCUGCAACUCGACCCCAUGAGAGUUGGAGUCGCUAGUAAUCGCAGAUCAGCAACGCUGCGGUGAAUACGUUCCCGGGCCUUGUACACACCGCCCGUCAAGUCAUGAAAGUCAGUAACACCCGAAGCCGGUGGCCUACCUUUUGGAGGGAGCCGUCGAA
rnacentral:rRNA from 1 species